ACAAAUAUUACCAUCAACUAAAGUUUUGGCUAACUUCACAUAUCGCGCUCCCAGCUGAACAUCGCCUUUAUCUCGUACUCAGUCAGGUAUCCCAUGGCAAACGUCAAGUUUCUCCUCUUGAUUGUACUGGUAUCGUGUCUUGUCUUGGAAAGUGAUGCAUGGUGGGGCGGACGGCGGCGAAGACGCAUCAGCUGCACAUGUGAUUGGUUUAAGUGUCACUGCCGAUUUUCAAAGGCACAGGCGAAGGCAAGAACUGCUAAGGUUAAUAGUCUGAUCCAUGGGUACGGGCCUGAAUACCUCUACUUUAAGACAGCCUUUUUUGUACAAUGCCCGAAAUAUUGACUUACAUAUAUAUCAAGAUAGCCAUUCAAGCUUUCCCGCACUGUUAGCGACCAGACUAUGACGCGUAUCCCGCAAGAGUUCAAGUUCUACGACAAGAAUGGCGACUUGAAGAUCACCAGUGACGAGUUUAACCAUGCUCUCCGGGUCGCGGACGGUUCUGCUUCGAGACUCUUUCAGCUUCUUGACAAAAAUGGUGAUGGUGCUGUGACUUGCGGCGAGUUCAAGAAGGCACGAGAUGCUCCAUUCGCUGAGCCACCCAAGUGCUGACGGGUUCACACUGACCAAAGACUCAGUAUUAGUCUUUGUUAGUUCGCCAUUAAAAGUGCGAAUCAAGAAUAAAACAUAAAUCAAAUAAA